rnacentral:rRNA from 1 species
UGCAAUGACGGGCAGUCGUGCGGUGUAAGUGGUGGGGGGCGGGCGUGUUCCGGAUUUAUGGGACGGAAAGAGGUCGUAGGCGGCUCAGCAAGUCAGGUGUGAAACCUCCAGGCUUAACCUGGGGACGCCACCUGAUACUGCGGUGGGUGGAGUCCGGUAGGGGAGCAGGGAAUAUCCGGUGUAGCGGUGAAAUGCUUAGAUAUCGGGUGGAACACCAGUGGCGAAGGCGCUGCUCUGGGCCGGUACUGACGCUGAGGAGCGAAAGCGUGGGUAGCAAACAGGAUUAGAUACCCUGGUAGUC